UACAGAGGUGGCAAGCGUUGUUCGGAAUUACUGGGCGUAAAGGGCGCGUAGGCGGCCAUCUAAGUCAGACGUGAAAUCCCCCGGCUUAACCUGGGAACUGCGUCUGAUACUGGACGGCUUGAGUAUGGGAGAGGGAUGUAGAAUUCCAGGUGUAGCGGUGAAAUGCGUAGAUAUUGGGAGGAACACCAGUGGCGAAGGCGGCUCACUGGACCGGAACUGACGCUGAGGUGCGAAAGCGUGGGGAGCAAACAGG
rnacentral:rRNA from 1 species